UUAACAUUCCUUACUGCACGUGACUAAAAUCCAUCCUGGGACUUCAAAAUUUUAGGGAAAAAAUAAGCAGGCUUUUUCAUCAGCACAAUUCUACAGCCCACAACCUUUAGUUCUCAUCAGCACUACUUUCCCACAACUAAACCCUAACUUUUCUAUGCUUACGAUCGAUCUCAUCUGAUCUCCUAAACCGCUUGAAAUUGUUGAAUUUUCAUUCCUCUCUUCAGUAUUAUCUUCAAUUAUCGGUAAUCCCCUCGCUCUUGUCAUCAAUUUUCCGUAGUUUCCUUGUUAUAGGCAUCAAUUUCGUAGUUUUUGGUUGAUAUAUCACUCAAAUUAGGUUGCUUAUGAGGCAUCAAUGUCAGAGUAUUGUCCACUCUGAAUUUUCCAUUGAAGCGGCUUCCGAAGCUUUCUCUCCUCCAUUGAAGCAGCUUCUGAGGUAUGAUGUUUUACCAUUAAAAUCACCGAAUAUCAAUUUCACAACUUAAGGGUUUAAUUUCACUCUGACAUUUACCUUUAAAGUCAUUCUCAAACCCUCUCAAUCGAUUUCCACCACCACACCACUGACAUUUACGACGAAUGACUACGCUCAGGCCAUGGUAAACGGUGAUGCUAAUCUAGCCACGGUAUUGCAACAAUGGUGAUUCUCAGCAUCCCAGACUGGAACUUCUAGGUAUUGAUUACAUGCCCCUGAAUCAACAGGUAUUUUAUUUAAUUUUUAUAAAAUGCAGUUUUCAAAACUCUAUAAAAAAUCAAAGAGCUCUAGAUAUCUUCUAAGAUCAAGAUAUUGUAUAUAUCUUCUCCCAAUGUUACCCAUUAUAGAGCUUUAAACUUAGGAUUAAUAGCAUUUUUUAAUCCCAACUUUCACCAAUUUAUUUUUAUUAAUCCCAACUUUGGAUUAUCUACAAUAAUCCCAACUUUCACCUGCGUCUUCUUUCUUCAAUCGGGUUUACUGGUUACCUGAAGAAAGGGUCAAAUUUUUUUUAAAACAAUUUAUAUGACACGUGUUGCACUCUAAUUGGUUAAAAAAUAUACAAAAAAAUUAAUUUAAAUUAAAAAACAAAAAACAAGGAAAUUAAAAAAAAAA